UCGACACUUGAUGCAAAUUGGUAGCAUCAUGAAGUUCCCACAGAUACCUAACUUUUCUGCCAUUGGCGUCAAUCUGAGUUUGAGGGAAAGUUCAUAAACCCUAGUCCAGAAUGAGGUUGGUUUUUUCUACCUUAGAGGGUUACUCUAUUCUUGAUAUGGAUUUUAGGAUGAGGAGGUUGUUAUCUUACACUAGGGACCAUCCUUAAGGACAUUAUCAGCACAACUUGGAGAUAACCAAGAGAUGUAGAGUUUUUUCCCUGGCUAUGGAAUCUCCAACAGAUUCCUGUGUAGGACAAAAGCUUUUCAGCUAGAGUUUAAUCGAAAAACUCAUAUGUAUCACAUUGGAUGAGAUAUAUGACUUUAAAAAGUCUUUCUAAAUCAGAGACAUGUUUUAGUCGGUUUUUGUAGGGUUAAGUUAGCUACGACCUAAUUUUUUAAAUGGUAUAAAGUUUUUUUAAGAUC
rnacentral:lncRNA from 1 species